AAAACUAUACUUUCAGGGAUCAUUUCUAAAGUUUUUGACUAGGAAAUGCACUAUGAUUGUGUAGAGUCUCCUAAUCCACGAUGAUGAGCGAUAAUGUACUCCUCUGAGCGUGAAUCGGAUAGCCAUCUGUAAUUUUAUCACGGAUUACUAUCAUUGAUGACCGUUCAUUGAAUCUGUAAGAAUCUAUGAGGAGUGCAUGAUCUGAGUGGU